UACGUAGGCGGCAAGCGUUGUCCGGAAUUAUUGGGCGUAAAGGGAGCGCAGGCGGAUGACUAAGCGGAUCUUAAAAGUGCGGGGCUUAACCCCGUGAUGGGAUUCGAACUGGUUAUCUUGAGUGCAGGAGAGGAAAGCGGAAUUCCCAGUGUAGCGGUGAAAUGCGUAGAUAUUGGGAAGAACACCAGUGGCGAAGGCGGCUUUCUGGACUGUAACUGACGCUGAGGCUCGAAAGCCAGGGUAGCGAACGGG
rnacentral:rRNA from 1 species